AAAAGUGAUAUGGCGUAUCAUGAAGAGGCGCUUCUAUGGAUGGAUAAGGAUGAAACAUAACUAACUCCUUAUCCACUUAUCAUAUCUCCUUAUCUCUCCUCAUCAUGCCCUAUUUGGAUAAGACUUCUCAUUAGGAGGCGCUCCUCUUGGAUCCCAUGCCCCCCUUGAUGCAUAAAUGGAUGGCAAGGAUGCAUCCCUCCGCAUCUAUAAAAGGGAAUGCGCUCCUGGUGAAUUCUAAUCAUCGAAACUCUAGAAUUCCAACUCUCUCUCUUAUCCCUUCUUUCUUACAAGAGUUUCUCUCCCUCUAACAACUCUUCUAGUGUGUCCUAAGCCAAGACAAGAUGGUCUUCUUUAGGACAAAAGGAUUAGAAGUGAUUUUAGAAGGUGGAAGAAAAAUAGAAAG
rnacentral:lncRNA from 1 species